rnacentral:rRNA from 1 species
UACGUAGGGACCAAGCGUUGUUCGGAUUUACUGGGCGUAAAGGGCGCGUAGGCGGCGCGGUAAGUCACUUGUGAAAUCUCUGAGCUUAACUCAGAACGGCCAAGUGAUACUGCAGUGCUAGAGUGUGGAAGGGGCAAUCGGAAUUCUUGGUGUAGCGGUGAAAUGCGUAGAUAUCAAGAGGAACACCAGCGGCGAAGGCGGGUAGCUGGGCCAACACUGACGCUGAUGCGCGAAAGCUAGGGGAGCAAACGGG